rnacentral:rRNA from 1 species
GAUGAACGCUGGCGGCGUGCCUAAUACAUGCAAGUCGAGCGAACAGACGAGGAUCUUGCUCCUCUCACGUUAGCCGCAGACGGGUGAGUCACACGUGUAUACCCUACCUAUAAUACUGGGAUCACUUCGGGAAACCGGCUCUAAUACCGUAUAAUAUCUUGAACCGCGUGGGUCAAUAGUGAGAGUCGGUUUUGCUGUCUCUUAUCGAUGGUUCCGCGCCGCAUUAGCUAGUUGGUAAGUUAACAGCUUACCACGGCAACCAUGCGUAGCCGACCGGAGAGGGUGAUCGGCCACACUGGAACUGAGACACGGUCCAGAGGCCUACGGGAGGCAGCAGUAGGGAAUCGUCGGCAAUGGGCGAAAGCCUGACGGAGCAACGCCGAGUGAGUGAUGAAGGUCUUCGGAGCGUAAAACUCUGUUAUUAGGGAAGAACAAAUGUGGAAGUAACUAUGCACGUCUUGACGGUACCUAAUCAGAAAGCAACGGCUAACUACGUG